UGAAUUGAAUUGAAGUAUGGGAAGGAAGAAUAGAGGAACAACGAACGGGAGGGUCUCAAGAAUUGGAACUUAUGCGAUUGCAUCGUCAAUCGAUGAACCCAAUUCGAUUUCAUGUACCACCUUCAAUAUUCUCGCACCCAUUUAUAAAAGACUCAAUCAUGAGGACCAGAGUUGUAGAGAAAGCGAUUACAAGGCGAAUUGGUUGAG
rnacentral:misc_RNA from 1 species